rnacentral:tRNA from 1 species
GCCCGGGUAGAGCACCGGCAGCAGCGACGCCAGCUCCGGCUUGGCGACGAACUCGGCGAAGUUCUUGUCCUCGCUCGGCGGC